rnacentral:rRNA from 1 species
UACGUAGGGGGCUAGCGUUGUCCGGAAUCAUUGGGCGUAAAGAGCGCGUAGGCGGCCAGAUAAGUCCGGUGUGAAAACUCGAGGCUUAACCUCGAGAUGUCAUCGGAAACCAUUUGGCUAGAGUCCGGAAGAGGAGAGUGGAAUUCCUGGUGUAGCGGUGAAAUGCGCAGAUAUCAGGAAGAACACCAAUGGCGAAAGCAGCUCUCUGGGACGGUACUGACGCUGAGACGCGAAAGCGUGGGGGAGCGAACAGG